rnacentral:snRNA from 1 species
AUACUUCUUGGCGGCGGGUGACUAGCCCAUGAUCACAAGCGUGGUGUUGCCCCGGCGGAGGCUUGUCCCAUUGCCCACAAUCCGGACUUUGCCUGCCAACUCGGCUGAAUUCGACAAACGUUCGAAUCUCAACUGCACAAUUUCUGGUAGUGGGGGACUGGCGUUCGCGCCUCCUCCCC